rnacentral:lncRNA from 1 species
CAUUCAACAUGACAACUUUUUGGAACAGAUUGCAGAGAACUAAUAUAUAUAAUUGAGGAUUCAAUGGUGUGGCCAAGUUUUUCAAUAUAGCUAAAGGCUUUGAAAAGAUGAUUACACGAUUUCAGAGUUGUAUUUCACCCCGAUCAGAAAACAGUUACACAUAUUCAUUGGCUAAUAUAGUGAAAACAUUUCAUAGGGAACUAGAUUUCACUAGUUAUUAAUUCUAUUCCGGUUAAGUCUCAUGUUUGAAAAAUAAAACACCUGUUUGCUAUCCAAAGUAAAUAACAAGGGGGGUAUCAAAUUAGCAGAUUGAGAGCUAUAUGAAAACCUAAUAUGACCUCCACGAAAUACUGAUACGCGACAGAAUUGGUAGACAAUGUGUAAACCAAAAUGGGAUACAACAAGUGAUUUUUUAAAUUAUAUGUAAUAUCUAAUAUUUGGAUUACAGAAAAAACGUUACAAUACAAAGAAAAGUGCAACUGUACCUAUCUAGCCACCUAAAUAUCAACAUAUCUAC